rnacentral:rRNA from 1 species
AGCGGUACAUUUCUAGCUUGCUAGAAGAUGACGAGCGGCGGACGGGUGAGUAAUACUUGGGGAUCUGCCUGAUGGAGGGGGACAACCACUGGAAACGGUGGCUAAUACCGCAUGACGCCUACGGGCCAAAGUGUGGGACCUUCGGGCCACACGCCAUCAGAUGAACCCAAGCGAGAUUAGCUAGUUGGUGAGGUAACGGCUCACCAAGGCGACGAUCUCUAGCUGGUCUGAGAGGAUGAUCAGCCACACUGGGACUGAGACACGGCCCAGACUCCUACGGGAGGCAGCAGUGGGGAAUAUUGGACAAUGGGCGCAAGCCUGAUCCAGCCAUGCCGCGUGUGUGAAGAAGGCCUUAGGGUUGUAAAGCACUUUCAGUGGUGAGGAAGGCGUUGUAGUUAAUAGCUGCAACGAUUGACGUUAGCCACAGAAGAAGCACCGGCUAACUCCGUGCCAGCAGCCGCGGUAAUACGGAGGGUGCGAGCGUUAAUCGGAAUUACUGGGCGUAAAGCGCACGUAGGCGGCUUGUUAAGCAAGAUGUGAAAGCCCAGGGCUCAACCUUGGAAUUGCAUUUUGAACUGGCAAGCUAGAGUUUUGAAGAGGGUGGUAGAAUUUCCAGUGUAGCGGUGAAAUGCGUAGAUAUUGGAAGGAAUACCAGUGGCGAAGGCGGCCACCUGGUCAAAAACUGACGCUGAGGAGCGAAAGCGUGGGGAGCAAACAGGAUUAGAUACCCUGGUAGUCCACGCCGUAAACGAUGUCGACUAGUUGUUCGUGUCUUUAAGAUGUGAGUAACGCAGCUAACGCACUAAGUCGACCGCCUGGGGAGUACGGCCGCAAGGUUAAAACUCAAAUGAAUUGACGGGGGCCCGCACAAGCGGUGGAGCAUGUGGUUUAAUUCGAUGCAACGCGAAGAACCUUACCAUCCCUUGACAUCCAGAGAAUUAUCUAGAGAUAGAUGAGUGCCUUCGGGAACUCUGAGACAGGUGCUGCAUGGCUGUCGUCAGCUCGUGUUGUGAGAUGUUGGGUUAAGUCCCGCAACGAGCGCAACCCUUAUCCUUAGUUGCCAGCACAUAAUGGUGGGAACUCUAGGGAGACUGCCGGUGAUAAACCGGAGGAAGGUGGGGACGACGUCAAGUCAUCAUGGCCCUUACGGGAUGGGCUACACACGUGCUACAAUGGCGCACACAAAGGGCAGCAAGCUAGCGAUAGCAAGCGAAUCUCAAAAAGUGCGUCGUAGUCCGGAUUGGAGUCUGCAACUCGACUCCAUGAAGUCGGAAUCGCUAGUAAUCGUGGAUCAGAAUGCCACGGUGAAUACGUUCCCGGGCCUUGUACACACCGCCCGUCACACCAUGGGAGUGGGCUGCACCAGAAGU